AUGUAUAUAUAUAUAUAAAUCGGCUCAUGUCGCUCCCACACUUCCAAACCUUCAGUGCCUCACAGGAUUUCUCUUCCAAGAGCAUCCAAAGUCCCAAGCAAGACCUCCUAGGCCAGCUGGUCACUCCAUCUCUCAGGCCCUGCCCUCCACCCACACUGGCCCCAGUGCUCCCGUUUGCACCUGCCAAGUUCUGUCCUGCCUCAGGGACUGGCACUUGCUGUUCCCUCAGGGGGACUUCUCUUUUCCAUCCCUUCUCAGCUCAGGUGGCAUUCCCUUUGCACAGCAGAAAUUAGCACAACAUUUUAAGACAACCAUACUUUAAUGAAAAAAGAAAAGAGGAGUUCCCACUGUGGGUCAGUGGGUUAAGAACUUGACAAAGGAUGCAGGUUCAAACCCCUGGCCUCACUCAGUGGGUGAAGAAUCUGAUGUUGCCACAAGCUGCAGCAGAAGUCGCAAAUGCAGCUCUAGCCCGGGAAAUUCCAUAUGUCAUAAAUUCGGCCCUUAAGAAGAAAAGAAAGAAAAAAAAAAAGAAAGCGUUUCUCGAAGAUACUCUGAGGCAGUCCCACACCCAUCUCCACUGCUCCCUUUCACGUGACCUUGUUCCCGUCUGCCUCAGCACCGGUCCCCGGGUGUUACUGCUCAUCUCUGCAGAGUUCAGCAAAGGCCUGGCCGUGGGAGGUGGACGAGAAUGAUUUCAGAUUUUAAACGUUUUAUCUGAAAGGGAAUUAAAUGAAUCAACUGUGCUUGUAGGAAGAAAAAAAACUUUGCAUUGGCUUCAACAAGGAAAAGAUACAUUGCCGGAGAAUGUUAUUAUAUGCGGUAAUUUAAAACACAUAUCAAAUCUACUUUCCUCUAAUAGAAAGGACACAGCCUUUCUGAAAAUGAAAGGGACAUGAAAGAUAUGUUUCUCGUGCCGUUUGAUGAAAUGUUUGACAGAACAUAAAACCCCUGAGAGUCUUUGGGUCUGAUGCUCUCGGAGGCCAUUCGCCAUGAUUUCUGGUCUUGCGGUUGCUUCAGGAUAAAGUAUGAGCACUCACCUAACGUGAAAAGUCAGAUCUGACCAUCUGGCUCGAUUUCAGCACCAUCUUCAAAAUUUCCUCUCAGAAUUAAAAAAAAGAAGGAAAGAAAAACCACUGAUUGAGUAGAUUUAUUAAUACAACGGAGAGCGGGGUCAUGGAACUAACUGGGUUUAAUGCAGAAAUGUUUGAGAAACAUACUUUUCAUCACAGUUGUGUAGCCAGUCCUACAGUAAAUAUUUAAAUGCAUGUAGGGAUCCUCUUAAAGAUUCUCAGAACCCCUGAACCCACUGAGGCACAGUUUGUAGCAAUUAUUACUUGACUG
rnacentral:lncRNA from 1 species